GAGAUAAGAAACCACAGCGUGAGCUUCAGAGCGGUUCAGACACAACCAGAAAGAGAAGGAAGUGAAGAGAAACAGCAAGGAAGAGGAGGUCUCACGUGGAAAAGAGCACAGGACACCUGGGGACAAGGAGACGUCAUCUGGUGCACCUGGGACUCAGAGGGAGAAGAAAGAAGACAGAAGCUAACUGAGGAGAAUGGCCAAGGGCUCCACAAUGGACAGAUGCUAUCCCGCAGUGCCACAGCUGCCAGGCAGGUCUGAGCAAGUCCCCAAGAGCCAGCAGCAGAGAGGGCACUGCUGCCAGGCCUUGCCCAGGAACAUCGCCACUGAGAAGAAACUGUGAUUCCUGUCCUGUUGGUCUUCAGCCAAGUGCAGUUUCCCU
rnacentral:lncRNA from 1 species